GUCUUCCGGCCGCGCCUCGAAUCCCGUCAGGCGCAGGAAGGGCGGAGAGCCUCGUGGGCUUCGAGGGGCUCUGCGAGCUCUGCAGUUGAGGCCUUGGUCUGAGGCAGGAGUCCUGAGGUCACAGAGCAGAGGAGGCGCGGCCGCGUGCCAGUCGGUUGUCCAGGCGAGGGUCUGGCGACCAUCAUGCCCCUGCGUCAGAGGAGUGAGCUCUGCAAGGUCGAGGAGGAG
rnacentral:lncRNA from 1 species